UCGAAAUCGGUAGACGCUACGGACUUAAUUGGAUUGAAAAUCCGUCGACUUUAGAAAUCGUGAGGGUUCAAGUCCCUCUAUCCCC
rnacentral:tRNA from 1 species